AGUGAACGCUGGCGGUAGGCCUAACACAUGCAAGUCGAACGGCAGCACAGUAAGAGCUUGCUCUUACGGGUGGCGAGUGGCGGACGGGUGAGGAAUACAUCGGAAUCUACUUUUUCGUGGGGGAGAACGUAGGGAAACUUACGCUAAUACCGCAUACGACCUACGGGUGAAAGCAGGGGAUCUUCGGACCUUGCGCGAUUGAAUGAGCCGAUGUCGGAUUAGCUAGUUGGCGGGGUAAAGGCCCACCAAGGCGGCGAUCCGUAGCUGGUCUGAGAGGAUGAUCAGCCACACUGGAACUGAGACACGGUCCAGACUCCUACGGGAGGCAGCAGUGGGGAAUAUUGGACAAUGGGCGCAAGCCUGAUCCAGCCAUACCGCGUGGGUGAAGAAGGCCUUCGGGUUGUAAAGCACUUUUGUUGGGAAAGAAAAGCAGCAGGUUAAUACCCCGCUGUUCUGACGGUACCCAAAGAAUAAGCACCGGCUAACUUCGUG
rnacentral:rRNA from 1 species